rnacentral:rRNA from 1 species
AACGAACGCUGGCGGCAUGCCUAACACAUGCAAGUCGAACGAGACCUUCGGGUCUAGUGGCGCACGGGUGCGUAACGCGUGGGAACCUGCCCUUAGGUUCGGAAUAACUCCCCGAAAGGGGUGCUAAUACCGGAUAAUGUCUUCGGACCAAAGAUUUAUCGCCUUUGGAUGGGCCCGCGUUGGAUUAGCUAGUUGGUAGGGUAAAAGCCUACCAAGGCGACGAUCCAUAGCUGGUCUGAGAGGAUGAUCAGCCACACUGGGACUGAGACACGGCCCAGACUCCUACGGGAGGCAGCAGUGGGGAUUAUUGGACAAUGGGCGAAAGCCUGAUCCAGCAAUGCCGCGUGAGUGAUGAAGGCCUUAGGGUUGUAAAGCUCCUUUACCCGGGAUGAUAAUGACAGUACCGGGAGAAUAAGCUCCGGCUAACUCCGUG